UUUGGAUUAUGAUUUAUUGAAUUUAGUUAUGGAUGAAAGUAUUAAUCAAGAAGCAGUUGCUUAUAAUGCCUGUUUGAGUAAUAAUUCGUCUGCCAAUCCUCCUAAUUCAAAUGAUUCUGCUAAUCCUAAUCCACCUAUUUCGAAUAAUAGUCGGUCACAAGGUUCUAAUUUAUGGAUUUUGAUGAUUGAUAAAUCUUCAUGUUGGUUUUUAAUAUUUAGAUAUUUCUUUUUACUAUUUAACUUUUGAGAUUGUAUUUUGAUAAGAUCACACUUUGUUGUUGAAUGCUAAUUUUUGUUGUUGAAUGCCCUAUUUGUUGCUGAAUGAUAAUUUUUGUUGCUGAAUGCUGAAUGCUGUUGGUAAUGGUGUUUUUGCUGCUGAAUGUCCUGCUGUUUUUAUUUCUUUAUUUGUUGCUGAAUGUUGGUGGCAGAAUUUAGAUAUGCUCAUCUUGAUAAUUUUUUGAUUUUUCAAUGUGCUAUGGCUAGUCUUUAAUUUUGUAUCUGGUUAUGGAUACUUCUUUGUUUUGUAGUUACUGGUUUUGCUUUGAUUUGUAGUUGCUGGCUCCUAAUUAUUGCUGGUUUUGCUGGCUUUGUUUGUUGCUGAAUGUUGGUGGCAGAAUUUAGAUAUGGUCAUGUUGAUAAUUUUUUGAUUUUUCAUUGUGCUGUGGCUGGUCUUUAAUUUUGUUUUAAUUAAUAAAACUUUUAUUAAUUUCAGUUCUGGAUAAUAGUAUUAAUCAAAUAGAGAUUAAUAAAACUUUUAUUAAUUUCGAAUGAUGCUGCUAAUCCUAAUCCUAAUCUACCGAAG
rnacentral:lncRNA from 1 species